GGCAAUUCAUUCAAGAUGACAUCAAUGUCACGCCGGGAGUUGGAUGAUAUCAAACCAUGGGUUGAAAAAACCGUGAAGCGUGUGCUAGGAUUCCCGGAGCCUACGGUUGUCACAGCAGCUCUUAACUGUGUAUCAAAGGGCUUCGACCAAUCACAAACUACAGAAAUGCUUCAACCUUUGCUUGAAAAAUCCGCUCCCAAAUUUGUGACAUUGUUAUUUGAAACAAUGCAGGAAGUUGAAACAUCAAGAAAGAUGAAUAAACCUCGCAAAAGAACAUUUAAGGAGGAUGAAUCAAUGGAAGAGAUUGUUAAGCCAAAGAAGUCAAAAUUACCAGCUCAUUUUUCUGAUGAGUUAGAAGCUCCAUUACCAGAACCUACCCCAAGCCCUGGCCAGUUAACUGCUGCUCAGAUUAAAGAAAUGAUGGCACAUGCACGAAAACAAAUUACAGCAAGGAAAGAGCAGAUAGAUGCAAUGGGCAUGAUGCGGAAGUCAUCAAUAGCCCCAGUAAUUCCAUUGAACCAAAGUCAACAACUAGCAAAGGAGGCUCUAGAGAAGGCUAAGAGAGCUGCAGAAAUCCAGGCCAGAAUCCAGUCCCAGAUGGCAAGCACAGGCCUAGGAAUCAAACAUUUGUCCAAACCCACACCAUUGAUUCUUGAUGACCAAGGGCGGACAGUUGAUGCUAGUGGCAAUGCUAUACAGCUAACACAGAGAAUGCCAACACUGAAGGCUAAUAUUCGAGCCAAGAAAAGGGAGGAAUUUAAGGCAGUGCAGGAUAAACCGGACACACAACUUGAUGAGACGCACAAAUUCUUUGAUCAUCGCGUUAGCCUACAACCCGCAUUAAGACCCAAGAAAGCAUUUAAAUUCCAUGAAAAAGGCAAAUAUCAAUUGAUUGCACAAAGGGUUAGAGCCAAGGCCCAACUUGAGAAACUUCAAAGUGAGAUUGCCCAAGCUGCUAAAAAGACAGGGAUCUCAUCAGCUGCAAGAUUGGCACUCAUCCAACCAAAGAAAGUCUUGAGAGAAGAUGAAAUACCAGAUGUGGAGUGGUGGGAUUCUGUGAUCUUGCAUGUAGAUUCUUACAAUGGGUUACAAAACAAGGAUAAACGUGAAUGUAUUGUUGGCAUUACACAUCUUGUUGAGCAUCCAAUUCAAUUGAAGCCACCAGGUGAUAAAGAUGCAGCAGUGGAAGUGCCAAUCUUUCUGACUAAGAAGGAAAGGAAAAAAAUCCGUAGACAGUCAAGAAGGGAAGCUGAUUUAGAAAAACAAGAGAAAGUAAGGUUAGGUCUAGAACCACCUCCAGAACCAAAAGUGCGAAUGGCAAACUUGAUGAGAGUAUUGGGAAAUGAAGCCGUCCAGGAUCCGACAAAGGUCGAAGCUCAUGUCAGGGCUCAGAUGGCUAAGAGACAAAGGCUACAUGAGGAAGCAAAUGCUGCACGAAAAUUGACGGAUGAACAGAAACGAGAAAAGAAAAUGAACAAGAUUCGGGAAGAUACGUCAAAUGGAGUUAACGUUUCUGUUUACAGAGUGCGUGAACUUAACUGUCCAUCUCACAAAUUCAAAGUUGAAGCUAAUUGCAAGCAGUUGUUGAUGACUGGUUUAGUGGUUAUGUUCAAGGAUGCUAAUGUAGUCGUAGUUGAAGGCGGUCCAAAACAACAAAAGAAGUUCAAAAGACUUAUGAUGAACAGAAUUAAAUGGGAUCAAGAUAAACGAAGAAAAAAUGUACACGAUGACGAUUCCGAUGAGGAAGAACAGAGGAAGGUAAACAAGUGCUUAUUGGUAUGGGAAGGGACAACGAUGGAGCGUUCAUUUGGAGACAUCAAGUUCAAACAAUGCCCUACGGAGUCAAUGGCGCGGGAAGUGUUUAAGAAACAUGGUGUGGAACACUAUUGGGAUUUGGCUCACAGCGAAGCUGUAAUUGAGGCGUCCCAAGAUUUGUAAUUAGAUUCAGUUCCAAUGCGAAUGAUUAUUCUUGCGUUUUAAGUUUGGUAAAUUCCAGGUAUUUUGAAAUAUCCCAACGGUAAGGAUCCAUUAUACAUUUGACUACAUUACAAUGUUUUGUUAUAUUCUUCUUGUUAUUUUUUCAAACUUCCAAUAAUGUAAGGAAUUAGGAGAAGUAAUGUAAAAAAAUAAUAUUAGAUAAAGGUAUAUGAAGAUGAAAUGGUGUAGGUUUGUACUGUAAAUUCAUGCGUAUAAGACGAUACAUGUAGUCAACUCCCAAGUUUGAAUACAGAUUCCUGGAGUGUCAGUCAUACAUAACAUCUGGCCUAUCAGAACAUGUAAUUCAAUUUGUGGGACCAGUAAUAAUGUGCAUGUCCAACACACAAGUUUACAUUCAGGAUUUCACUUUGUGGGACCUUAGCAAAAAUAUCCAAGAGGUAGGGCUUAACAAAUAGUCCAUGCCGAAUAAUUUGUUUGUACUAUUACUCUCUGCCCUCCCCUCCCCUCCCCCUCCCCCCACAACUUUCUACUGUUCUAAACAUAUCAGGCUAUGAUGCACAAUUGUUACUAGACUACUGGUUUACAAUGGAAGAAAAUGUUAUUAGCCCAGAGUGUAAUUUUGGUGGACUUCAUAGCCUUGAUUAAUAUUAAAUCUUGCCCUGACACAUAAGAUGACUUUUGACUUAGAACAUGCAAAUUCAGCUGUCUUCUUAUACAUGGGAAUUUACAACAUGUACAGACAUGGUAAGAUUCUCCUACCUACCCACAACUUUACCAAUGUAAUGUGAUAUGGGUUGGAGUUUUUUCUUCUUGUCGCAGGUACAUUACUGUUGUGUUUGCAACAAGACCAGUGUGUCAUAAUGAUUGACGUCAGGUGAGCCCAACAUCGCCAGCAAACUUGCUGGCCAGUGAACGGCUACAAGAGGUCAUUAUUAAAGGUAAUGUAUUUUAUGAAUAAUAAUUACAUGAUGUCUCAAAGGAAAGUUCCAGAGUUAAAUGUUAAUUUGAAUACAUUUAUUCCUAACAUCUUUGUUAGGAAAUAAAAUGCUGUAUUAUUUGGCAUAUUGCAAAUUUUUAUUAUAUUCCCUACUUCAGUUUUCAAAAACAAAUGUGAGCCUUCAAAGAUUAGUAAUUUAACACUCUGUAAUUUAAGUAUUAGUAUCACUUUUGAUUGACUUAUGCCAAUGCUGGUUUUUCACUACCGAGUUCAGGGUACCAAUAAGUACGUAAUUAAACGUACUACAUAUUUUUAUUAAAUAUUUUAUCUCUAGAACUCUCCUUUAAUAUAGUAUAAACAUGCAUGAAUAAACGAAUACAAGAAAAAUACAAAACAAAAAAAUUUAAUUGCUAUUUUAAUGCUUCUCUGGCAAUGUUUAAUUUGAAAAUAAAGCAAGUACUUAGUUGGGCAGUUAAAGAUAUACUAUCAAUCAAAAGAUAAUACCUCAAGAAUUCAUAUAAAAUUUUGAAUAACUUGUUUAAAAGGAUUAAAUAAAUUAUUAGCUUCCACCAAGAAACAGAUCGAAAAAGAUUUACAGACAUUUUAGUACAAAAUCCUUCCAUUGAUUACCUGCCAAUUAUGAUUUUUGUACUAAAAUGUCUGUAAAUCAGGGAAAACUGGUUUUUUUUUUACCUGUUUCUUGGUGGAAGUUUAUAAUAUAUUUGAUUCUUUUAAAUGAGCUCUCCAAAUUUCUUUUUUUAAUUUCUGAAGUAUUUUCUUGUAUUUUGACUGUUAGUACAUCUUACUAAAUACUAAAUGUUAUCUUGCCAUCUAGUCAGGGAUUAACAUUAUAUUCUUCAUUUAUACAUUGUAUCUUCAGUCUGUUAAAUAAUGUUCUGAAAACCAAACUGUAUCUAAGCAUGGAGGUAUAAAUCUAAGCUACUGUAUCAAGCUAUGAGAAUAGUAUAGUGGCAACAGUGGCAGCACCAGUGGGGUGUCCAGGGGUCAAAGUGUCCUUGUCAGUAAAGAAGCCAAUCAUUAAUAUGUUGGGUAAUACUGCCUUGAUAAGCAUUAACACAAGAUGCCAAGGAGCAUUUGUGUAUUUCUGCCUUCAAAAUGGCCUCCGAGUCAUUAAGUGCCACCAUUAUCUAGCAAAGUCAUAUAAUGGUGGUAUUGUUCAAUAUGUGCUUAAUCCUAUUAGAAUGUUACUGUCAUGAAUUUACAACAGCAAUUGAUGAAGUAAAAUAUUUCCUGGAAAAGCUUUUAUUCAUGUUUAGCACUCAAGUAUUUGAACAAUUAGUUAAUAACACAAAGGAGACUUAUAAUUCCAAUAUUGUAUGAGAAAGAGUAACAGGGAACUUAGAGUUUGAAAUUCAGUUUAGCUUAAGGCUGGUAAUUACUGUACAAAACUUCUCUAUUCAUUCAAAUUUCCUUAAAAGAAAUAAAAAUAAAUGUAUAAUAUCAAUUUGGCUGAAUUGAA
rnacentral:misc_RNA from 1 species